CAACCUAACCCGCCUCCUACCGCUGGAGGCAGGCGUCGCGGGCGAGCGAGCGGCAGCCGGAGCCGGAGCCGGAGCGAGGAAGCCCGCGGCGCCGUGACGGGUCUAAGGGCCCGAUGGUGAUUCGUUGACUGGAAAAAAACUCCCCCUCAAACCAGAUCGCCUCCACCCCCACCCCCACCUCCUACCUCCGGCGUCGGCCACGACGGUGCCUCCCACCUGCGGCAGCGCGCCUCGCCCCCCGACUCCCACCUCCAGCGUCGGCCACGCCCCUCGCCUCCCACCCGCAGCGGCGCGCCUCUCCCCCGACUCCCACCUCCGGGGUCGGGCACGCCCCCCGCCAUCCACCCGUGGCGGCGCGCCACGUCCCCCGCCUCCACCUCCGGCCGCGCCACGCCCUCGGCUCCACCUCCCGCGACGCGCCAUGGCUCCUCCUCCGACCUCCCACGAAGCGCUGGAGGAGCGGCCGUCGGCGGAGGGCGGAGCGUCGGCAACAACCACCUCUGCCCCGUCCCCCUCCUCCUCAUACAUCUGUCGCCCCGCCCCCACCUCCUCCCCCGCCCCCGGCGCCGCCAAGCCCCGCCCCCAACCUCCCCACCCCCACCUCCUCAUGUUCGCCGGCGCGCCUCCACCUCUCGGUCGCCGGUGCGUCUCCACCUCUCGGCCGCCGACGCGCCUCUACCUUGUCCCGGCCGUCCAGGUAAUGCGCGCGCAUCAGUUCGCACAAGACUAGGUCGCCGGGCACCAUUCGCCAUCCGGCGCGACGCCAUGGGUAAAGCCAAGAUGGAGCUACCGGUUCUAGCACCGACACCUGCGACGUCAGUCCAUCGAUGUGCUCGGCGCCGUCCACAACUCCAUCGCGCUCGAGCAUACGCUCUAGAUCAUCUUCCACCAUGCUCCGGCCACGGCUCCCCACUGCCAACACAAGAUCCCAACCACUUCUGAAAAAACUGUUGUUAUCUGGUUAGGAGUUCACAUUUGCUAAAUUCCGUAGUUCUUUGGUUCACCAUUGCUAAAUUUUGUAGCUAUCUGGUUAGUAGUUCACCUUUUAUAAAAUAUGUAGUUCUCUAGUUAGAUAAACAGUGGUUAUCUUUGCAGAAACAAUGGUAGUCUACAAUUUCUGUUAUUGGUAGUAGCAGUUCAAUAUAUAUUAGAAGAAGAAAAAAGGAAACAGUGUUGUCUUGCAUGACCACAUGAGGUGUCACCACAAAAGCAGCAGACGAUGUUUGAGGCUGUUUUGUAGGCUGCCACUGUUCUACCUGUCCGAUAACAGUGGCGGCGAGACGAACACCGUGCGCGCACCUGUGUGACAUGAAGCGGAGGCAUCACUAUGGCCACGUACAGAGUGUUGGGACUGCAACAAUUCCCACGGUCCAAAGCGUAGAGGAUGUGCUUGUGAGCUGUGAUGUUCUGAACUUGUGAUAUAUCUGCGGCGGUGAGAAGCAGACCCGUUCAUGUUCCUCCAUCUCCCAAGCUAAGUUUUCUGUUGUUUUUGAUGUUAUUCCUAAAAGAAAAUCGUUUAUACAUGGCCAAUGUGAAUGUGCAGUAUGGUGUAGUGCAAAAGAACAGUCACGUGUGUGGUUAAUUAGCUGAGCAUGCAGGGCCUGUUUGAGCUUUAUGUGGAGAACUAGUUGGAUACUACGGUUUUUGGAAAAUCAAGUUGUUCUUUCUUUACAUGAUUUACAAACUCGCAUUGCAUUCUCCUGUUGCUUUACUCUUCCAUCUCAUAUAUAUAUGAUUGAGUUAUCUAAAAGAGCUUCUGUUCCUGCUAUCUACAGAGAUACAUUGUUUUAACUGAAAAAUGAUGUCUCUGGCGGCCACCACUCCUUGGAAAUUUUCUUCCAUCUGCUUGUACGCAGACCAUGGUGCUUGACUUUGUUCUUAUCUUUUUAUUUUUUGCAGCCAGUCAGUGCUUCUUCUUGAUCUCCCGACCACCAGCGCCGCUUCUUCAAAAUGAUGUCUUACACUUGAUCUCUGAACUUCAGCCACCGACCUCCUCUGGUUGGGCCACACCACCACCGGCCCGUCCACAACAGUUGCUGGCAGCCAUCCAAGUUGAGCGCUGAUGGUAGUCCUCUGCGUGCGUCAACGACACUCUCACAAGAAGCUCAAUCAUAUUCAGGGAUGAAAAAGGAGAGAAGCACAGGAAGAGCUUUAUUUCAGGUGGCAGCUUCGUCCUCUUUUAAACUGAAGUUUUCAUUCAGGUAGUACAUCCACAGCAGCUAGUACAGAAUGCAGAGCAGUGGAUGCAACUACCUAGUAGAAUACUACAGGGAAGCAGGGACGUUCGAUGCUACUGGAUUGUGGAUAGAGGAGUUAAAUUAAGCCCCUGACAUCGUUUCUACAAAUCAGGGGAGCCAGAUCCCUGCUUCAGUAUAUGACUUGUACAAGAAAACAUACACUAAAUGUAGCAGUUCACUAUGUGUUUAUAUCAUCAGUUCGUUAACAAAUCAAAGAAAAAGUUUUUGUGCUUGUGACUA